UUUGACUCUUUUAUUUUAUUUUUGAUUUAUUUUGAGAGUAUUAAUCAUGUAAGGUCGUUCAGGUUUCAAUUUCUACAUAUUUUUCUAUUCUUCCUCUUUUGCUAUGAAAACCCUAAAAAACCUAACAUUUGCACCCUAGAGUUUUCGAAAACCCACCCCUCUUAGACCCAUCCUCGAAGAUAGUCAUGGACCCUGAGAUUGCGAAGACGCAGGAAGAAGAUGGAGCAGGAACUCGCAUCCCUCACUUUCGUCAUCGAUCUCUAUGGCGCAAGCGACAGAGACGCAUACCACACUUCAAGUCUUCAACCCCGCCCCCAAAAGCCUCCUCAAGGACAUGCCCUCCGCCCCUGAAACCGACGCCGAGUUGGGUUUCCGCAAGUCGCAGAGGAUCAUCGACAAGGAAGACGAUUACCGCCGGAGGAGGCUCAACCGCAUCAUCUCCUUCUCUGUCGUCGCUGGCUCCUCUUUCCAGUCGAAGAAGGACCUCUACCUCUCACUUUCCCACAAUCCACUCCUCAACGACGAUGGCAAAGAGGGGAUAGCAUUGAAAAGAAGUUUUAUGAUUCUUAAUUCCAUAAGUGCCAUGGUUACUUGAUGAUGAACAAUUACUCUAUUCCUUAAAUUAUGGAGGAACAAGAUUAGUGGCUUGGGCUGUGCUCCGCAGAUGUUAUCUUUGGCAAACAGGAUUCCAUAUUAAGUGGGGAUGCUGACAGAGCUCUAGGUCGCCUGUGACAGAAGAAGAAGGUUGAGAUUAAGCUACAAUUGAUUAUGUUUUCAAGGUCUAUUAUUGUUAGAGAUAUGUGAGUAUUAUGAUCAACUUAAAGGUGAAAGAGUUUUUGGGAGAGAGGAGCAGCAGAGGAAGGACGUUGCAACAAAGUGAAGGAACCGCUGUCUUUCAUUUUCUCUUUCGGUUUCUAUGUUAGGGGAUUUGACAGCCUAUGGUAAUCGAUUGGAAUAAUUGCUCUCUUGGACUAUCACUAAAAGAGAAAGGUACCAUGCUCUAGCUCUUUAUGUAUGCCAUCUUUUACUAAAUAUUAAUCACUCAUUAUCUUGAUAUAUAAUGUUAAUAGUGCUUCUUCUUUCAAUUCUUAAUUUGUUUAAGGACAACUUUUGUUCAGUAUAUGGGAUUUGUAGACGUGUUCACUUGCUAUGUUGAAUAUGUAUUUAUAUAGUGAUAUGCCAAUCAAUUUAAACCAAAAAUUGGCCAUGUAAAAUAAAAUGGAAGUGGACUUGGUUGUCAUUGUGAUGAUACAAUUAGAUGAUCCUAUAUUGCCUAAAAUUAGAGGUGGGGGCUGAGUUAGUUUCUUUAUUGCAGUAAAUCAGGAUUGGAAUGUGCUUGCAGAAGGUUACAUAUUAAAUCAGGUUAUUGGAGAUCCUAUAUUUUCUGUUU